GGGCGCCUAGUAUAGUGGUCAGUACACUUCGUUGUGGCUCCUUGACAGGAACAACAUCCGAAGAAACCCAGGUUCGAUUCCUGGGGCGCCCA